AGAGUUUGAUCCUGGCUCAGAACGAACGCUGGCGGCAGGCUUAACACAUGCAAGUCGAACGCGUGUAGCAAUACACGAGUGGCGCACGGGUGAGUAACGCGUGGAUAUCUGCCUUUUGGUUCGGAAUAACUCCGGGAAACUGGAGCUAAUACCGGAUGGUUCCUACGGGAUAAAGAUUCAUCGCCAAAAGAUGAGUCCGCGUACGAUUAGCUAGUUGGUGAGGUAAUGGCUCACCAAGGCGACGAUCGUUAGCUGGUCUGAGAGGACGAUCAGCCACACUGGGACUGAGACACGGCCCAGACUCCUACGGGAGGCAGCAGUGGGGAAUAUUGGACAAUGGGGGCAACCCUGAUCCAGCCAUGCCGCGUGAGUGAUGAAGGCCUUCGGGUUGUAAAGCUCUUUUGGCGGGGACGAUGAUGACGGUACCCGCAGAAUAAGCCCCGGCUAACUUCGUGCCAGCAGCCGCGGUAA
rnacentral:rRNA from 1 species